UUAUUCAUUUUAAUCCUAUUUACACUUUCAUUUUCUCACACUAGAGAAACUAUUCGGUAUUUACACAUGUGUGUUCUGUUUAUUUCACUUAAGAGUAUGGCCUCGAGAACACAUGCCGAAUCAGCCCGCUGCACACAGGAAGGUCUGUGCACGCCCUACCGAGGUCCUGAGUCGCGCGGAAGACACCAAAUCACCCCGCUGCAGACAGGCAGCCACCUGAUUCCACAUUACCAAGGCGCAGAGGACACCAGACCACCAGACCAAGAUACUGAGUCCUGCUGUUCACGGCCAAGAGAAAGACCAUUUUGGGGUCAGAAGCAAGAACAACAGCAACAAUCAAUGGCAUUUAUUGAACAUUUGCUACGUGCAACUUCAAAUAUAUUAAUGUUUUGUAUGGAUUAUUUCAUUCAAUCCCCUAGGAACUCUUUAAGGGAACUAUUGUUAUUAACCCAAUUUUACAGACACACACACAAACCACAAGUGCAGAGAAGUUAAAUAACAUGCUCAAACCCAGGUAGUUGAUGAGGAGCAGAGCUAGGUGUCAAGUCCAGAGUUUGCAAACUGACUGCUCUCAACCCUGUACAGUAUCAUACCUCCACUCUCAGGCCGUGUGAGAGAAGGUGGACCUAGAAGGAUGAGUCAUAAAACAAUAACAACACACAUAAAUAUAGUUCUUACUCUGUGCCAGACACUGUACUAACCUGGGGUCUCACUGGUGGCACUAUUGACAUUUAGGGUACCUAAAGUGUAAUCAUGUUAGGGGGCACUGUCCUGUCCAUUCUGGGGUGAUCAGUGGCAGAUGCCAAUAGCACUCCCCAUCUCGGUUUUGACAACAAAAGAUUAUCUCUAGAUAUUGCCAAAAUAGCUCCCAGCUGAAAACCACUGCUUUAAACACUUCACUUACAUUAUUAAGUCAUUCAGUCCAAUAACAACUCUAUGAAAUAGUUACUAUCAUUAUUUCCAUUUUACUUACUUCGGGCCAGUUCUAUUCUGGGUAAACUAAUCAUCUAG
rnacentral:lncRNA from 1 species